AAACGACUCUCGGCAACGGAUAUCUCGGCUCACGCAUCGAUGAARAACGUAGCAAAAUGCGAUACUUGGUGUGAAUUGCAGAAUCCCGUGAACCAUCGAGUUUUUGAACGCAAGUUGCGCCCGAAGCCAUUCGGCCAAGGGCACGUCUGCCUGGGCGUCACACA
rnacentral:rRNA from 1 species